NNNNNNNNNNNNNNNNNNNNNNNNNNNNNNNNNNNNNNNNNNGGGGAGGCGACGCUCCACGGCCGGGCGAGGGGAGGGAACCUUGGCCAGUGGCGCUGGAGCCGCGACCCCGGGGGUCUCGGGCCGGCCACUCGUCCGCGCGUCUUCCCGCGGGCCGACGGAGAGCCGAAGCCCCGGGCUGUUGGUGCCUGGGAGACGGGCUGACGGGCAAGCAAACUGUUGCUUUUCUCCUUCCGUUGGAACCAAAACAAGGAGGGUUGGAGAAGCACGGGCAUGAGCUGUAGGAAGAGGCUCGACAAAUGGGUCUUUGGGAAGAAGCUGGUGGAGGAUCGGAAUUGAUGGCCGCGACCCCCGCUUCUGAACCUGAAGGCGGAGAAGGUGGGUCACGUGGGCAGAACGCACUUUCCCUCCAGUUCGGUGCCCGCGCCCUGCUUGGAAAAUCCCCGAAGAUCGCGGUCGUCUGUCAAAUUCCGCAAACCCAUGCGGUCGCCCCUUGGGGCAGGAGAGCCGCCGCCUCAACUCCCAGGACGGAAUUUUUGUUCUACAAGCAAAUACGUGUCCACUGUCGGUCGGGAAUGUUAAGGGAGAAAAAGCCCUUACGCUUUAUCUUCUCCCGCCGAAAGAUGCACUGAAAAAUCUCCGCAGUUGUGUAGCUUGAAUUGUCCGUUUUCGGGGUCCUGAAAGAGCAGUUCAGUGGUAGGUAGGUUCUGUGUGUAUUUUGGAAAAGCAAACGAGGGGCCGAAAUCUGUUUACAAAAUUCAUAGGAAAGUUUGUGGUAGGUCCAGUAAUUAAUUGAUAAACUCGUUAUUGUAAAAAUACUGAACGGAGGGGCGCCUGGGUGGCUUAGUGGGUUAAGCCGCUGCCUUCGGCUCAGGUCAUGAUCUCAGGGUCCUGGGAUUGAGUCCCAGGCUCUCUGCUCAGCCUCAGCAAGGAGUGCUUCCUCCUCUCUCUCUCUGCCUGCCUCUCUGCCUGUUUGUGAUUUCUCUCUGUCAAAUAAAUAAAUAAAAUCUUAAAAAAAAAAAAACUGAACGGAACAUUUACAUAGGUCUUGGGGGCUUGUAGCAGCUUGGUGAUAGGAAAAGGAAGAGUGGUCCAAGUAAUCCUUCUUUUUAAGGGAAUUGCAGAUACUGUGCAUUCUACACACCAGUCACAUACGUGGUAUGAUCAUUUUUUUCUGUCCCAUUGUCAAGAGGAGUCCUACAACAUCAAACUAAAAUGUAAUGCCACAACCUACAUGUAAGGUAAAAAAUUGUGAUAUGGCCACGUGAUGGUAUUUGUUAUGCAGCCAAGAAAAAUCAUUUUGUGUAAUAUUUAAUUGUAUGCAGUAUGUUUUAGCCUAUCGAAAAAAAUUUAAUGUGACACCUGAACAGUGGAGUUACAGGUAAUUUUUAUUUAACAUUGGAGAUCUUUGGUAAAAUUUGAGUGAAAUAUUCAUUUCCAGAGGAUCUUUUCCUUCUUUUAUAAACACAUUUAUUUAAGGCAGGUUAAAAAAUGAAUAUACAAUUUUAAGUUUACAUAAAUGUGAAAAGGCACUGCUUCAGAUAUAUGAAUUAUAAAUGUUUGCUGGCCACAUAUGAGUCAAAAUGGUUAGCUUCCUGAGUAAAUGCAAGUCUUUAUACUAGAGUGGUUGGUACUAGUCGGUCCCCAAAAUUGCUUACCAAUAGAAUGAAUUUUAAACAAUUUUUGAGAAAUUAGAAGUAUAGACAAGACUGAACAUCUGUGUGGGUAAAACAGAUAUUGAAUACUGAACCAUUUUUUUAAAGACGAAACCAUGGAAAUUAUUGAGUAAACCUUACUUUAUAAAUGAGAAAACUGAAAUCCAGAGAGGUUAGCUGAUAUGCUAAAGGUCACAACGUAACAGAACUAGGACUAAUACCUAGAUCAGACCCUUCUAUAACAAUACUAGUAUCUGACAUGUAUUGAGUAAUACGUUUUAAGCUCAAGAAUAACUCAUUUAAUCCUAUUAACAAUUCAAUCCAUUCUGCAGGGAAUAGGAAACUGAGGCAGAAAUAGGUUAGAUAACUCCCCAAAGUUACCUGAAACAUACAGAUGAUAGGUAACUAAGCCAGCCUUUGAACCCAAGCAGAAUGGCUCUGAGACUCAUGACCUUAGCCAUUACCCUGUAUUGCCUAUACUAUGUCGCCUACUUUAUACCAUAACCGUUUUGGAUCACAUUAUAUGUGAAAGAUGAGACAGUAGACCCCGUCAUUUGUGAAAGGUAUUGAAAUGCUAUGUCAAAGUUUAUGGAGUUGUUAAAUCACGAGAAUUUAAUUGAAAUUUCGUAGGGCUCUAGAGCUUAGACUUUGGGCAUCAUCUAGAAUUAUCAAACGACCUCUAAAAACACUGCACAAAUCAUCCCGGAAAAAUUACGUCUUCCCUUCAUUGUACACUGCAGCAACCUAGGUGACACAUUAUUACGGCUUUAGGGAACCUUUUGAUCCUUAAAGUUCGGAAGUACAUCCUAAUGAUUAACCUAAGAUCAUUUUAUGGUUUAAAAUUAUUCUGUUAUCUUCAAGGCAGGAAAAUUCUACCAUAAAUAUACACACACAUACACAUCCACAUUUAUUAUUGCUGCAUAAGAAACCACUAGAAAUAGUGCUUUUAUAUACCCUCAAAUUCUAUAAAUCAGUGAUUUAUAAAUUUACUCAUAUUUAUCAGACUCACCUUGUCUGGGAUCAAAUAUUAAACUGUCGAUCUGUUAUCAACUAUAUAGAAUUUAACACUUAAGUAUCAUACAAGCAACAUAAUAUGAAAAAAGAAGAUAAUGCAUUCCCUAAAGUGUUUAUUUUAAGGAGAGUAAGGAGUAGGUUGUACUUGGGUGCUGCCCUGGAGAUAAGUUGCCUACAAGGAAACCCCUGAAGUGAACUUGUAUCUUUCAUUCCAAGUGUUAAGGCACACUUGGGUCUUGCCAGGUGACACAAUGCAUGCACCACACUGCCAUAUGGGCACCAAAUCAUCCUUGACAAGUCUUCCACUCAAAUGCAUUUCAGAUAACAUGAAUUUCAUUUUUUUAAUGUUCUUGUUAUAAGGGAGUUUGUUCAUAAGUCUGUAUUAAUUAGUGUCUGAGCCAAGAUUUAAAUACAGGUCUGAGUCCAGGUCCUGUGCCUCAUGUUACAUUUUUUCUAAUUAUUACUAAAAUAGUAUGUCCAGGUCAGACCUGUCUCUGGAGCCUCUAAACUCUUUAACUACCCAUGAGACAGACCAUCUGACUUUCUCCAGGCAUCUCAAAAUUAGCAGGACAAAAACAAAUUCUUACCAAACUGUUCUUUUUCAAAUUUUAACCUAAGGUGUUCCUAUCCAUUUAGGCUUUCAAGACAUAAGUCUUAGAGUCAAAGACAAGAGCACUGGCACAGAUGCAAAGUAAUGGAAGUUACCUAUAUACUCAUCUCACUAAUCCUCAACAUCUAACCUACUACCAUAAACAAUUGGCUAUACCUCAAGAAGUUCAAGAAAAUAAUUUCCUCUUUCCAUAUGCACCAUCAAACUUCUAGUCUAAAACCUCAUAUCUGAACCAUUGCCAUAAUCACUUCCAUGAUCUCCCUACUACCCUUCUUUCCCUCCCUCAAUUAUUCCAUACUAUCAAUAGAAUUAUGUUCAAAGAAAUCUCUGAAAAUCUCUGUUGACUCCCAAUUUUUUACAUGAAGAAAUCAAAUCUUAACAAAAAGCAUAAAACCAAUGGACAUUUUGGGGUCAGAAAAAUCUAGAUAGUUAGUCCUAUCUCCAUCAAUCAUGGGUUUUGUGUCUCUAGGCAAGUAAGAACCUCUUCUGAGCCUCAGUUUUCUCAGCUGUAUGCUAUUUUCAGCAUGAUGAGAAACUGGUUAAUAAAGCAUCCAGCAGGAUCUGGAACACCGUACAGGUAUAUAAUAAAUACUCAUUACACCUGGCCCUCCCACAACUUCACAACUUUAUUCUCUAAGGAGUUCUCACCCUUUUCAAAAACAAAGCAAAAACUGGGUGGGGAAGGAGUGUGGGACACAAGGGAAUUUUAGAGAUGAUAGAGGUGUGGGUUACAAGGGUGUAUCCAUUUGUUAAAGCAACUAUUAAAAUAGAAUGGUGGUUACCUUUCCUGGAAGGAGUAGCUUGGCAUGUGGAACUGAAUGAAACAGUAACAAUUUGGGAAUCACUGGCCAUUUUAUAGAUUUUGAGCUCAGUGAUCCUAACAUGUAUAUUUGCUUUAUAAUAAUUGUUGUAAGCUGAUAUGUUUUAUGCAUUUUCGUGUGUAUAACAUUUCACCAUAAAAAUAUCUUUUAAAAGUAGCUGACCUACAUUUUCAUGUCUCUCUGAACUACAUCUUAGAAGUUAAAAAUGAUUAUUGAGCUUUUCAAGGUUUUAUGCCUUUGCACAUGCUACUCCUCAUGCGAGAAAUACCUUUCCCCUUCAUCUAGAAAACUCAUACUCAUCCUUCAAGAUCCACUUUAGACAUCACUCCUUCUAUGAAAUCAGCUCCUAUGACAAAUAAUCUCUCCAACUUCCUUCUCCCAUAGUACACCAUUCUAAUCAAAUGUCUGACUCUCCCAUCAACCAGAAAUCGUCAAGAACACAGACCAUGACUUAACUCCUCUUUGUUUUGCCAUCAUCUAGCACACUACUGUCACAUAAUAGGCAACCAUUAGAAGUUACUGGAUGGGCCUCAGUGAUUAAAUUAGCAGUAAAUAUAUUAAGAAAAAUUUAGUGGGGAAAAUCAUUUUUAGGAGUUUAGUUUACUUAGGCUUCUGGCCUAAUGGGACGCUCAUUUCCAAUGUAGAGAACAAUCAUACAUACAAAGACAAAGGAACCAUUAGCGUAUAGAGUCAGCAGUGCUGUAGAAUAUAUACCACAAUUAGAUACUUGAAAGUACUAACCACCCAUCCUGUAAAACCAUGACUUUGUUUUUUUGAGGGGUGGUAUUUUUUGCUUAGAUUUUUUUUUUUUACUUUUAAUUUUGAAAUAACCCCAAAUUUAAUUUUUAAUUUUUUUCCUAUUUGUUUUUUCUCUCCAUAUGCACAUGUGAUUUUUGAACCAUUUUAGAGUAGGUUGCAUACACUGUGGCCCGUCUUCCCUUAUUACUUCAGUGUGUAUUUUCUAGAAGCAAGGAUAUUAUCCUAUAUAACCACAGUACAGUUAUCAAAUUCAGGAAAUUUGACAUAAAUUUGAUUUGAUUUUAUUUGAUUAAACAUGAUUUUGGGCACCUGGCUGGCCCAGUAGGUGGAGCAUGUGGACUCUCAAUCUUGGAGUCCGGAGUUAGAGCUCUACUUUGGGCAUAGAGCCUACUUAAAAAACAAAACAAGCAAACAAAGAAAAGUGAUUUGAUACAAUACAGUUGACCCUCAAAACCACACAGGUUUAAAUUACACAGGUCCACUUAUACAUGAAUUUUUUCAAUAAAUAGAAUACAGUACUGUGAAUAUAUUUUCCCUUAUGGUUUUAACAUUUUUUUUCUUUAGCUUACUUUAUUGUAAAAAGACAGUAUAUGAUACAUAUGAUACACAAAAUAUGUGUUAAUUGACAGUUUGUUAUUGGCAAGGCUUCUGGUCAACUAUUAGUAAAGUUUUGGGGGAGUAAAAAGUUGUAUGUGGAUUUUUAACUGUGGGCUGGAGGGGGC
rnacentral:lncRNA from 1 species